rnacentral:rRNA from 1 species
AGCGAACGCUGGCGGCAGGCCUAACACAUGCAAGUCGAACGAACUCUUCGGAGUUAGUGGCGGACGGGUGGGUAACACGUGGGAACGUGCCCUUUGGUUCGGUAUAACUCAGGGAAACUUGUGCUAAUACCGAUUGUGCUCUUCGGGGGAAAGAUUUUUCGCCAUUAGAUCGGCCCGCGUCUGAUUAGCUAGUUGGUGAGGUAACGGCACACCAAGGCCACGAUCAGUAGCUGGUCGGUGAGGAUGACCAGCCACACUGGGACUGAGACACGGACCAGACUCCGACGGGAGGGAGCAGUAGAGUGUCUUGCGCAAUGGGCGAAAGCCUGACGAAGCCAUGCCGCGUGAAUGAUGAGGGUCUUAGGAUUGUAAAAUUCUUUCACCGGAGACGAUAAUGACGGUACCCGGAGAAGAAGCACCGGCUAACUUCGUG